rnacentral:tRNA from 1 species
AGCAUCGUCGCCGAUGGCCGCGCGGCGCUCGCCUUUCUCGAAGGCAAUCAGCCGACGCUGGUGAUCAGCGACGUCAUGAUGCCG